AGUGAACGCUGGCGGUAGGCCUAACACAUGCAAGUCGAACGGCAGCACAGUAAGAGCUUGCUCUUACGGGUGGCGAGUGGCGGACGGGUGAGGAAUACAUCGGAAUCUACUUUUUCGUGGGGGAUAACGUAGGGAAACUUACGCUAAUACCGCAUACGACCUACGGGUGAAAGCAGGGGAUCUUCGGACCUUGCGCGAUUGAAUGAGCCGAUGUCGGAUUAGCUAGUUGGCGGGGUAAAGGCCCACCAAGGCGACGAUCUGUAGCUGGUCUGAGAGGAUGAUCAGCCGCACUGGAACUGAGACACGGUCCAGACUCCUACGGGAGGCAGCAGUGGGGAAUAUUGGACAAUGGGCGCAAGCCUGAUCCAGCCAUACCGCGUGGGUGAAGAAGGCCCUCGGGUUGUAAAGCCCUUUUGUUGGGAAAGAAAAGCAGCAGGUUAAUACCCCGCUGUUCUGACGGUACCCAAAGAAUAAGCACCGGCUAACUUCGUG
rnacentral:rRNA from 1 species